rnacentral:rRNA from 1 species
UCGAGAAUUUUUGACAAUGGGGGAAACCCUGAUCGAGCGACGCCGCGUGGAGGAUGAAGGUCUUCGGAUUGUAAACUCCUGUCAUUGGGGAACAAGGUGCAUACGUUAACUGCGUGUGCAUUGAUAGUACUCGAAGAGGAAGAGACGGCUAACUCUGUGCCAGCAGCCGCGGUAAUACAGAGGUCUCAAGCGUUGUUCGGAUUCAUUGGGCGUAAAGGGUGCGUAGGCGGCGCGGUAAGUCGGGUGUGAAAUCUCGGAGCUUAACUCCGAAACUGCAUUCGAUACUGCCGUGCUUGAGGACUGGAGAGGAGACUGGAAUUUACGGUGUAGCGGUGAAAUGCGUAGAUAUCGUAAGGAAGACCAGUGGCGAAGGCGGGUCUCUGGACAGUUCCUGACGCUGAGGCACGAAGGUCAGGGGAGCAAACG